rnacentral:rRNA from 1 species
UGCGUAACACGUAUGUAAUCUGCCCAUCACAGGAGGAUAGCCCGGAGAAAUUCGGAUUAAUACUCCAUAAUAAAUUGAGUGGCAUCACUUGAUUUUGAAAGUUCCGACGGUGAUGGAUGAACAUGCGACUGAUUAGUUAGUUGGUGAGGUAACGGCUCACCAAGACCACGAUCAGUAGGGGUACUGAGAGGUUAAACCCCCACACUGGUACUGAGACACGGACCAG